rnacentral:rRNA from 1 species
UACAGAGGUCUCAAGCGUUGUUCGGCUUCAUUGGGCGUAAAGGGUGCGUAGGCGGCUUUGCAAGUCGGGUGUGAAAGCCCUCAGCUCAACUGAGGAAGUGCGCCCGAAACUGCAGAGCUUGAGUGCCGGAGAGGGUGGCGGAAUUCCCCAAGUAGAGGUGAAAUUCGUAGAUAUGGGGAGGAACACCGGUGGCGAAGGCGGCCACCUGGACGGUAACUGACGCUGAGACGCGAAAGCGUGGGGAGCAAACAGG